GCGGUGUCAGCCCUGUGAUGAGAACUGGCAGCAGCAUGGGAAGUACUGCUACUCCUUUUCUAGAAAUCUGAUUCCAUGGAGAGAUUGUCAACGCUACUGUUCAGAGUCACGUUCAAGCUUUCUUAAGUUAAACGUGGAAGAAGAGCUGGAGUUUUUGACAAGAUUGUCAAAAAGGGAAUGUCAUAUGAAUGAGAAAAACUUGGGGAUCAGUUUGUACUUCAAUAGCCGCCAAAUGAAGUGGGCUUGGCUGGAUGGCUCAGCCUUUACGUUGGACAAGCUUGGAUUAAAAAGACCUAACAAUACCUAUAAUCAGUGUAAAUUUAUUAGAAAUGCCAGGUUAAUUGAUGGGAGUUGUGAAGAGCAUGUGCAUUGUAUGUGUAAGAAGACAACCUAUGGACAUUAAAUUUUUAAAGGUUUAAAAAUAAAGGAAAUGGUGAAAGUUUUCUGAGAUAAUUUUUCACCUCAUGAAAGAAAGUCAAUGGUUAUGUAAAACCACGUGUCUUUAGAGUGCUAAAUCCCAUGCAAAUUAUCCAUAAUAAAUACAGCAUUAAUUUAUUUGAAGUUUAAUAACCAAAGAUUCAAACAUAAGCUAUCGUGAUUGAGAACCCGACAUGAAGAGCAGGAAGCU